rnacentral:rRNA from 1 species
CCUACGGGAGGCAGCAGUCGAGACUCAUUCACAAUGGGGGAAACCCUGAUGGUGCGACGCCGCGUGGGGGAAUGAAGGUCUUCGGAUUGUAAACCCCUGUCAUGUGGGAGCAAAUUAAAAAGAUAGUACCACAAGAGGAAGAGACGGCUAACUCUGUGCCAGCAGCCGCGGUAAUACAGAGGUCUCAAGCGUUGUUCGGAAUCACUGGGCGUAAAGCGUGCGGAGGCUGUUUCGUAAGUCGUGUGUGAAAGGCGAGGGCUCAACCCGCGGACGGCACAUGAUACUGCGAGACUAGAGUAAUGGAGGGGGAACCGGAAUGUUCGGUGUAGCAGUGAAAUGCGUAGAUAUCGAGAGGAACACUCGUGGCGAAGGCGGGUUCCUGGACAUUAACUGACGCUGAGGCACGAAGGCCAGGGGAGCGAAAGGGAUUAGAUACCCCUGUAGUC